rnacentral:rRNA from 1 species
CCUACGGGUGGCAGCAGUGAGGAAUAUUGGUCAAUGGACGAGAGUCUGAACCAGCCAAGUAGCGUGAAGGAUGACUGCCCUAUGGGUUGUAAACUUCUUUUAUAUGGGAAUAAAAUGUUCCACGUGUGGGAUUUUGUAUGUACCAUAUGAAUAAGGAUCGGCUAACUCCGUGCCAGCAGCCGCGGUAAUACGGAGGAUCCGAGCGUUAUCCGGAUUUAUUGGGUUUAAAGGGAGCGUAGGUGGAUUGUUAAGUCUGUUGUGAAAGUUUGCGGCUCAACCGUAAAAUUGCAGUUGAAACUGGCAGAGUUGAGUACAGUAGAGGUGGGCGGAAUUCGUGGUGUAGCGGUGAAAGGCUUAGAAAUCUCGAAGAACUCCGAUAGCGAAGGCAGCUCAGUGGACUGCAAGUGACACUGAGGCUCGAAAGUGUGGGUAUCAAACAGGAUUAGAUACCCGAGUAGUC